GUGAAUCAUCAAAUUUUUGAACGCAAAUUGCACUCUCUUCGGAGAGUCUGCCUGUCAUAGGGUCAGUAUAAAUAACAAAACGGGUUGGUUGCAAAUUGUGACGUUUCUGGAGAUAGGGAUAUCAUAAAUUUUUUGGUUAUGGGGCUUAAAAUUGUUCUUAUUCGCGCAUUAUUAGACGUACAUGACU
rnacentral:misc_RNA from 1 species